GCCCGCUUGGCUCAGCGGUAGAGCGUAAGUCUAAUGAACUAAUUCAACGAUACCUUCGGCAUACUAACGCUACGAUAGGCAUCACUAGUAAUGAUGAGGUCGUCAGUUCGACUCUGGCAGUGGGCA